rnacentral:lncRNA from 1 species
AAAAACAAAACAAAACAAAAAACUAAGAACAGAGAGAAACCACCACCCACCCCCAGCACCACGAGUAAGCAGUUCUCUGUCCAGACGCCCUCCAUCCACCUGCGCGGACGUGUGUGCGUGUAUAUACCAUGGCCGCGGGCGCCUGCCUUUCUCAGAUCCUUAGGAUGUGGCCCCAUCUGCUCCUGUGUCCCUCGUCCCAUCCACCAAGGGGUCCCACGCAGGGGCCCAGCCUGCUCUUGGCUAAGGCGAGGGUGAUGGGGACCCCAGGACAGGCGCCCGGCUCCUUGCUGGUUGGUUUUAGGGGGUCUUAGACAGACCUUAAAUGCUCUGUCCACUAUGAGUGGACGUUAAAAUGGUCCCCACCCUCCUUCCUCAGGGCACUUACUAAAGAGGGGGGUGUCCCCUCGGCCUCCCUCCCGGCCUGUGGCCUCCGCAUCUCUGCACAUCCACCCUGGCCACCACUGACAUACAAAUCUAUUUAUUCCCAAGCCUGGAUGGCCAGAGCGGGGAUUGGGGGGGGGCCGCUGGGGUCCCCGCCACCCUCCUUCACGGCACUUACACCUGACGGGGCCCUCGGGGCCACUGCUCAGGGCGACCCCCCCCCCAACCUUCCCAUCUCUGCUUGGCCAUGCCCCCACCCCGUGUUCAGAGAUUGAAAAUUUGUCGUCACCCCACUCCCCACUUUUUAAGGCACUUUUUAGAUCGAUUUCCCCUUUGACUCCUUAAAGACAGUUUAUAUAGAGAUAUAUAUAGAGAGAGAUAUAUAAAAUAUUCUUUUCCUCAGAGGAGCCGGCAGCAGUUUUGGGUGGACAUAGCCAAGAUCAGAGGUAACCCCAGGGACUCAGGCAGAGACAGACAAGGGAGUGAGAGAGGCCACAGCUUAAUGUCACAAAACAGCAAUAAAACCCCAAGAUUUUAGUAAACACGAAGGCAGAACAUUUUUUAAAAAAUCAGCAAAAGCGGUGACAGCCACGUGGGGAUCUUGGCACUUUGUAACUGAACGGGUACUUUUCAUUCUUAACUUGAGAAAUGUUUACAAGUUGCACCCAGCUUCUAUGAAAAAUUGAAGAGAGAGCGAGAGAGUGGGAAGUAACUAAGUCAAUUUAUUUUUGUAUAAAAUAAAAGAACCCCAACCCAUCGCUCCGGUAGAAUCCACUUGCGCUCCCGAGACUCAGGGUGGGGCGUCCAGGGCGCCAUGGGAAGGGACCCGUGGGUCCCCCAGUCUGCCAGGGGCCUCUGUCCCCCAGGUUAUUUUAUUUUCUCAUUGUCUCUGUAGGAGACCACAGGCCUGGGAGCCGCAGGCCACCUGUGCUGUCCUUCCCAGCUCAGGGAUGUCCCCGAGAGAGGGCUGGUCCUCGACUAGCCAGAUCCCCAUGCCCCAUGUCUGUCCCCUCCCCAUGUGGUGGUCCCCCUCUUAGGCACCCCCUCUUUUUACUCAAAGGCACUGACUGUAACCCAGGGGCUAGCACCCGAGCCCCCCAUACCCCAAACUCUGGCUUCCCCCAAAGGCCCGGUAUUGACCGAGCCACAGGCCACGGACAGGGGCCGGGGUUGGGGGACAUGGCUGCUGGGUGCCAGGGCGCCCCCCGUCAAACCCCGUGGCCAAGGUGGAACCAAACUUGGGACCUUGUCCAUGCACACUCUGUCCAGCCCUUCCCCAUGGGUGCCGGCGGGGGUAGCGGGUGUUCCUGUGUCCCCCGCUGACAAAUGUCUUUCUUUGGUUUUAAAAGGAAGCUCACUAAGAAGGUCGCUUUCCAGUUUCUAGCAGAGGGGUUUUCCUUUCUAACUCCUCCUACCACGCGAGCCCUCCCCCCCCCCCCAGAUGUCUCAGGAUCCCCCCUUGGGGCCAGCAGAAUGGGCCCAGGGGCGGGGUGGUGCUGGCCUCCCCUCGCACCCCACUUCCGCAGUGAGCUGUCCCGGGAACUGUGCUGUGGAGGCCAAGUUGGGCCCCCAGCCCCCAUUCCCAGACAGGUCAGCCCCUCCACCUUCUCGCAAUAAAACCAACUUUAAUCACAUGUCAUCCUGGCCAGUGGCCACUAGACUUGGGGUGGAUGGAGCCCUUGGGGACUAUGGUAGGGUGCCCCAUAACCCGCCAGCGAAACCGCAACCCCCUUGGGAAUUGCACUAAACCCUUGACCCCCGCUCCGCGCUCAGCUUCUGCCCACCCACACCCACCUUGCCUUAACCGCCAGCCCGUCCUAGGGGGCCGCAGCCACCGCAUGGGCCCAGCGCCGGGACAUCCCCCAGCCCCCUAAAGGCCCGCCCGUACCCCGCCCCCCAAUAUACUGCAAUCACAUACUGUAUAUAGAAUGCGGAUCAAUUUUUACAAAUUUUUAUUCUUUAAAUUAAGGCCGUGAUAAAAGUUGCCAAAGAGAAUUGUGGAAUUCACUAGAGGUUUGAGCGGAGGGUGCUGUAGAAAGGUUUUAUUUGGUUGUUUGGGGUUUAUUUUGUGUGUGUGUGUGUGUGUGUGUGUGUGUGUGUGUGGUUUUUUUGUUUGUUUGUUUUUUUGCUUUUUUUUCUUUUUCCUUUUCCCUCUACUUUUUUUUUUUUUUUUAAUUGCCUGGUACCAAUAACAAAAAGGAAAAAAAAAACACAACAGAAAUUUGUUACUUCCAUUAUGGUGAAUUUGCGUGUGUGUGUGUGUGAGUGUGUGAGACAGACAGAAGGGCCCAGGCUGUGGGGUUCUGGGGACCCCAGUGCUGGGGAGGGGACCAGCCUGCAGCUGGCCCCAAGCCUGUGACCUGAGCAAGGCCACCCCUGCUGAGUAGUUGCUGCUCUUUGCCUUCCUAUCCCUACAGGCCUUUCGAGAUUAAGAAAAAAGAAAAAAAAAGGCAAAAAAU